AAAAAUCGUCACUAUACCUUCUUUCAAUAUCUGGAUAAGGUCCAAGUUUGUUCCAAUUGUAGUGCACGACCAUGUAUGAUGUAAAAAUAUAAAUUGGAAUUUUUCUUCAAUGGUUGAUUUUUGUUUAAGAUUUCUUUUUGUUUGGUUAACUCUACAUAUUAUCCUUAAGAUGAGAUAACAUUUCAAAGUCUACAAAAUCAGGUCAAAAGAACCUCACCAUUUCUUUAUUAUUUCACAAUUCCUUCUCAUCGCUUCCUAUAAUCCAAUUGUGUGCGUAAAUCCUUAAAUUUUUUUAAAAAAGAAGAAAAAAACUUUGUCCUAGAUGAAUUAAUCCACCAACUCGGAGAUGCCUGCCUCUAAGUACCUAAGUCUGGCAACCACUUUCAUUUAAUAAUAUGUUUAUAAUAAUUAUUAUAUAUUUUUUUCUUAUGCAAAGCUUGAAACUCCCAAAUAACGUUGUGAAACUUAAUAAACAUGUUUACAUAA
rnacentral:lncRNA from 1 species